rnacentral:tRNA from 1 species
GGAUUGUGGCUCAGUGGUAGAGUGCUCACCUAGCAAGUGUGAGGCCCUGGGUUCGAUCCUUAGCACCA